UUUUGGACAAUGGGGGCAACCCUGAUCCAGCAAUGCCGCGUGAGUGAAGAAGGCCUUCGGGUUGUAAAGCUCUUUUGUCAGGGAAGAAACACCGGCUCUAACACAGUCCGGGAAUGACGGUACCUGAAGAAUAAGCACCGGCUAACUACGUGCCAGCAGCCGCGGUAAUACGUAGGGUGCAAGCGUUAAUCGGAAUUACUGGGCGUAAAGCGUGCGCAGGCGGUUAUACAAGACUGGCGUGAAAUCCCCGGGCUUAACCUGGGAAUGGCGCCUGUGACUGUAUAGCUAGAGUGUGUCAGAGGGGGGUAGAAUUCCACGUGUAGCAGUGAAAUGCGUAGAUAUGUGGAGGAAUACCAAUGGCGAAGGCAGCCCCCUGGGAUAACACUGACGCUCAUGCACGAA
rnacentral:rRNA from 1 species